UAGGGAAUCUCCACAAUGGACGAAGUCUGAUGGAGCAACGCCGCGUGAGUGAUGAAGGGUUUCGGCUCGUAAACUCUGUUGUUGGAGAAGAACGGGUGUCAGAGUAACUGUUGACAUCGUGACGGUAUCCAACCAGAAAGCCACGGCUAACUACGUGCCAGCAGCCGCGGUAAUACGUAGGUGGCAAGCGUUGUCCGGAUUUAUUGGGCGUAAAGCGAGCGCAGGCGGUUUUUUAGGUCUGAUGUGAAAGCCUUCGGCUUAACCGGAGAAGUGCAUCGGAAACCGGGAGACUUGAGUGCAGAAGAGGACAGUGGAACUCCAUGUGUAGCGGUGAAAUGCGUAGAUAUAUGGAAGAACACCAGUGGCGAAGGCGGCUGUCUGGUCUGCAACUGACGCUGAGGCUCGAAAGCAUGGGUAGCGAACAGGAUUAGAUACCCUGGUAGUCCAUGCCGUAAACGAUGAGUGCUAAGUGUUGGAGGGUUUUCCGCCCUUCAGUGCUGCAGCUAACGCAUUAAGCACUCCGCCU
rnacentral:rRNA from 1 species